rnacentral:rRNA from 1 species
CAAUAGCGUAUAUUAAAGUUGUUGCAGUUAAAAAGCUCGUAGUUGGAUUUCGGGGCAGCCUGGCUGGUCCGCCGCAAGGCGAGUACUGGUCAGCCGCCCUUCCUCUCGAAAGCCCCGACUGCGCUUCGUUGCAGUGGUCGGGUAGUUCGGGACGUUUACUUUGAAAAAAUUAGAGUGUUCAAGGCAGGCCUACGCCUGAAUACAUUAGCAUGGAAUAAUGGAAGAGGACCUCGGUCCUAUUUUGUUGGUUUCCAGGGCCGAAGUAAUGAUUAAGAGGGACAGUUGGGGGCAUUCGUAUUUAAUUGUCAGAGGUGAAAUUCUCGGAUUUAUGAAAGACGAACAACUGCGAAAGCAUUUGCCAAGGAUGUUUUCAUUAA